rnacentral:rRNA from 1 species
GAUGAACGUUGGCGGCGUGCCUAACACAUGCAAGUUGAGCGUGGCAUUAGUUUACUAAUGUCUAGCAGCGGACGGCUGAGUAAUGCACAGGAACGUACCUCGAAGUGGAGGAUAGCCCAUCGAAAGAUGGGGUAAUACUGCAUGUGAUCGUAAGAUCAAAGCCGAAAGGCGCUUUGAGAGCGGCCUGUGUCCUAUCAGGUUGUUGGUGGGUAAAUGCCACCAAGCCUAUGACGGUAACUGGUCUGAGAGAUGACCAGUCAGAUCGGGACUGAGACACGGCCCGAACUCC